rnacentral:rRNA from 1 species
UGGGGGAUAUUGCACAAUGGGGGGAACCCGUGAUGCAGCGACGCCGCGUGGGUGAAGAAGCGCCUCGGCGCGUAAAGCCCUGUCAGCAGGGAAGAAAAAUGACGGUACCUGAAGAAGAAGCCCCGGCUAACUACGUGCC